CUCAGAAUAAACGCUGGCGGCGUGCCUAACACAUGCAAGCCGAGCGAGAAAGUUCCUUCGGGAGCAAGUAAAGCGGCGGACGGGUGAGUAACGCGUGAGAAUUUACCCUUUAGUGAGGAAUACCUCUGAGAAAUCAGGGCUAAUACUGCAUAAGUCCCUACGGGGAGAAAGGUGGCCUAUUUGCUGCCGCUAAAGGAUAAGCUUGCGGGCUAUUAGCUAGUUGGUGAGGUAAAGGCUCACCAAGGCGAUGAUGGCUAGCCGGCCUGAGAGGGUGUACGGCCACACUGGAACUUAGACACGGUCCAGACUCCUACGGGAGGCAGCAGUGAGGAAUAUUGCGCAAUGGGCGAAAGCCUGACGCAGCGACGCCGCGUGGAGGAUGAAGGUCUUCGGAUUGUAAACUUCUGUUAAGUGGGAAGGAAGAUUUAUCCCUAAUAUGGAUAAAGGAUGACGGUACCAUUAGAGAAAGCACCGGCUAACUUCGUG
rnacentral:rRNA from 1 species